GCAGACGAUCGGCAUUUCGCAAAGUUUUGACAUUUCGUGAUAAUUUUCUGCCAUAAAAGACAGCUUUUGUUGGCAGUGAAACAACCAACCCUGUUGAUGCCAUAUGUCGCCUGAAAGCACAGAUGCUGGGGAAGCUUUGCCCAGAGGAAGGAGGUUGGUUCCAGUAGGAAAUAAAAGGCUUUUCUUCACUUCGACCUUACCCGCAAACGACAGGUACUUGAAGCUGGUAGAGCAUCGUGACUUCUCGCGUAAACAGUCUGGGCAUGGACGUGGAUCACAUUGACCAUUGGGAUCAGCUGAACAAGAUAGGACCCCUACUACUACGACAUGAAAAGACAUCUAUGCUUGAUGAUCAAGAAAAAGCCUUUGGUGAACCCUGUUAGGUCCUCAGAUGUUACAAUUAUGUACAGGAGGUCAUGAGUUUGAAGAAUGUGGAAAAGGACAUCACCAAAAGUACCUGGACAUCUACUUUUUUCAGCCGAGAGUUGCUUCUUUUCGAUGUAGGCCUAAUAGUCAAAGGGUUAUACUUAAUUUCUGCAAGACAAUUGAGUAUUCCUAAGCGACUCAAGAAAACAUUUAUCCUGCUAGAUGCAUAGAAGGAAUGCAGUUAUAUUUCUUGUUAGUUUGUUUUGAGAGUUAGUUUUCAUGUUAAAGGAUACAGACACAAAUGUGAAUCAGCAGUGAAGGUCCUUCUGAAGCGAGGAACCAAUAACGUCUCGGUAUUGCAGCCACUGCAGAUGAGGUAGUAUAGUUACCUUCAUGUAGUUUUUAAAAUCCAUUCUUUGGAGCAGUACAGUUGUAAGAUAAAUCCUGUUUGUAAUUUUAUAAAUUAGUUGCUCAUUAAGGGCUUACGAAGGUUUUCGAUGCCUUGCUGGCAUAUCUGCAUACCAGUAAAUAUGUGCAGAUUCAUUUCUUGCUUUGAAGCAAUAUUGUAGUAAUUAUGUGCAGACUUGGCUCUUGCAGAGAUUGUAGGACUGUCCAUUGAAUGUAACAAAAAUAAUCGAUGCCUAUUUACAAAUGAAAUGAAGAGUCUGCAUUUUGGUGCAACUCCAUAUAACUGUCAGGUGAUUUCGCUCUGAACUUGUGACACUCUGAUCGGUCUGAAAUAAUCAUUAUCUCGCCCCUCUGGGAAAAAUUUGCAGCCAGAUUGCACCAUUUCUUGUUACCGUCUGAGAGAUGGCGAUGUCAAGGGCGCAUGACGGUGGUUAAAUCUAUUGCGAAUGGACAGCACAAUUGGGUGUAGGAUAUUCUGAAACCAUUGCACACUCCUGAAUCUGCGGUGGGUUGGUACCCCACGCUACGUAAGGAGUAGGUUGACGGGUAAAACUUGGUCCACGUGAAUAGGUCGUGCCUUAAAAAUGAUGAGAAGUUGCGAAUUGACGCCCUGUGAAGUGUCCUUCGACCAGCUAGUGCUAAUCCGGUCACUGUCUCCAGGUCACCAUGCCUCGGUCAAUGAGCGGGCGAAGCACCCAAUGGCUCCGUCAGGAGUACAUCGUCAACUUCAGCCCGUAGUCAAACCGGUACGCGCACAAAUAUCUUAGUUGAGAGUGGGGGACAUAAGUAAAGUGCUUCUCAUCGGGGUAAUACAGUACCACUGUAUACAAUGACCCCAUUUUUUGGUUGGAUUCAUUUCCGCUGAGGAGUGGUCGAUAAUGAGAAUUUCAGGCCAGUCUGAUUAUCACUAGUACAGAGGGCAAUUAUCUAAUAGUUAUGAGGCUUUGCCUCAAACUGUAUACUCUUUCAUGUCAAUUGUAAAUUAGUGUUGCUUGUUACAUGUCACAUUCAAUGGCUCAUUUUAGGAUAGUUUCUGUGAUUCUACUUUAUACCAUAGAGCAGGCCCAUUUUAGCCUAUGACUGUCUAGUUUGUGCUCUGUAGUAUGUGAUUUGAAAAGUUGUAAAUCUGGUUAUUAGAGUUAAGAUUUUACAAUGGAAUAUCCACGGGAUACCCUAAUCUGAGAGCCAAGAGCCAAGACUCUGUUAAAGAGCCAAUUAAGUGCUGCCAGGAGAGCCACGAGCCAAAGAAAAAGUAUAGGCUUGAAUGAAUAUAAUUAUUAUCUUUGGGAAUCCUAAGCCUACAGGUACCCUACUUGAUAAAAAAUAAAUUUAUUUUGUAACCGUUUUUGGCAUGGUAAGACAUCGCCGCUAUUGUUAACAGUCUUCCAUGCCAAGAUUUUUUAUCAUACUGUUGUUACGCCGUCUAUACAAUACGGCGGGUACAGUGUACAUUGAGUCUGCACUUCAUACACUGCGUACAGUCACACUUGUUUGUCAUUCCUUGUUUGUCAUUCAUGUAGCCUUGCGCAAAUAGUGCAAUCAAAAUUGUUUUUAAAAGGCAUGAUAUUGCUCAAAUUUGUAAAUUCUUAAUUGAAAUCUGCCAAUUCAAGCAAUGAGAUAGCGCAGUGAUACACUUUCACUAUAUGGUCGAUUGUCACCAGUUCAGAGGGCGAUUACCUGUGGCAUUCCGUCAAACGGUUAACUUUUUCACAUCCUUUGUAAAUUAGUGUUGCUUGUUACAUGUCACAUUCAAUGGCUCAUUUGAGGAUAGUUUCUGUGAUUCUAUUUUACCAUGAGCAGGCCCUUUCAGGCCCACAACUGUGCAGUUCUAGCGCUGUAUGUGAUUAAAAAUGUUGUGCCUUGUUAAUAUUUGUGAAUUUAGUUAUUAGAAAAAAAA